UACAGGGGGGGCAAGCGUUGUUCGGAAUUACUGGGCGUAAAGGGCUCGUAGGUGGCCAACUAAGUCGGACGUGAAAUCCCUCAGCUUAACUGGGGAACUGCAUCCGAUACUGGAUGGCUUGAGUUUGGGAGAGGGAUGCGGAAUUCCAGGUGUAGCGGUGAAAUGCGUAGAUAUCUGGAGGAAUACCGGUGGCGAAGGCGGCAUCCUGGACCGACAUUGACGCUGAGGAGCGAAAGCUAGGGGAGCAAACGGG
rnacentral:rRNA from 1 species